GACGAACGCUGGCGGCGUGCCUAAUACAUGCAAGUCGAACGCACAGUCUCUACCGUAGCUUGCUACACCAUAGACGGUGAGUUGCGAACGGGUGAGUAAAGCGUAGGUAACCUGCCUGGUAGCGGGAGAUAACUGUUGGUAACGCUAGCUAAUACCGCAUAAUAUUGGUUGUUGCAUGAUAAUUGAUUGAAAGAUGCUAUUGCCUCACUACCAGUUAGACCUUCGGUGGAUUAGCUAGUAGGUGAGGUAACGGCUCACCUAGGCGCCGAUACAUAGCCGACCGGAUAGGGUGAUCGGCCACACUGGGACUGAGACACGGCCCAGACGCCUACGGGAGGCAGCAGGAGGGAAUCUUCGGCAAUGGGCGGAAGUCUGACCGAGCUACGCCGCGGGAGUGAAGAAGGUCUUCGGGUCGUAAAGCUCGGUUGUAAGGGAAGAACGGGUGUGAGAGUGGAAAGUUCACAGUGUGACGGUAUCGUACCAGAAAGGGACGGCUAACUACGUG
rnacentral:rRNA from 1 species